rnacentral:rRNA from 1 species
GCGCGAAAUCUCUGCAAUAGGCGAAAGCUUGACAGGGUUACUCUGAGUGAUUCCCGCUAAGGGGAUCUUUUGGCACCUUUAAAAAUGGUGCAGAAUAAGGGGUGGGCAAGUCUGGUGUCAGCCGCCGCGGUAAUACCAGCACCCCGAGUGGUCGGGACGAUUAUUGGGCCUAAAGCAUCCGUAGCCGGUACUGCAAGUCUUCCGUUAAAUCCACCUGCUUAACAGUUGGGCUGCGGGGGAUACUACAGUGCUAGGAGGCGGGAGAGGCAAGCGGUACUCAAUGGGUAGGGGUAAAAUCCGCUGAUCCAUUGAAGACCACCAGUGGCGAAGGCGGCUUGCCAGAACGCGCUCGACGGUGAGGGAUGAAAGCUGGGGGAGCAAACCGG